UACGUAGGGUGCAAGCGUUAUCCGGAAUUAUUGGGCGUAAAGAGCUCGUAGGCGGUCUGUCGCGUCUGCUGUGAAAUUCCGAGGCUCAACCUCGGGCUUGCAGUGGGUACGGGCAGACUAGAGUGCGGUAGGGGAGAUUGGAAUUCCUGGUGUAGCGGUGGAAUGCGCAGAUAUCAGGAGGAACACCGAUGGCGAAGGCAGAUCUCUGGGCCGUAACUGACGCUGAGGAGCGAAAGGGUGGGGAGCAAUCAGGCUUAGAUACCCUGGUAGUCCACCCCGUAAACGUUGGGAACUAGUUGUGGGGUCCUUUCCACGGAUUCCGUGACGCAGCUAACGCAUUAAGUUCCCCGCCUGGGGAGUACGGCCGCAAGGCUAAA
rnacentral:rRNA from 1 species